UGGGCUGUUCGCCCAUUAAAGCGGUACGCGAGCUGGGUUUAGAACGUCGCGAGACAGUUCGGUCCCUAUCCGCUGCGCGCGUAGGAGACUUGAAGGGGGCUGUCCCUAGUACGAGAGGACCGGGACGGACGAACCUCUGGUGUGCCAGUUGUAUCGCCAGGUGCAUGGCUGGUUGGCUACGUUCGGGAAGGAUAACCGCUGAAGGCAUCUAAGCGGGAAGCUUGCCUUGAGAUGAGGUCUCCCUCCCACGAAGGUGGGGUAAGGCUCCCGGUGGAUGACCGGGUUGAUAGGCUGGUGGUGGAAGCGUUGUGAGGCGUGGAGCUGACUGGUACUAAUAGGCCGAGGACUUGACCACAACAAA
rnacentral:rRNA from 2 species